AUGAUUAUUACUCCGCGGAAUCAGUCUAUUUUAAUAAAGGUUUCUGAACUAGUUAGUCCUAUUACCCAAACGUGGGAUGAGCAAUUGCUUCAAGACCAUUUUAACCCUGUGGAUGUUCGAAGGAUCUUGCAAAUACCCUUACACCUUCAAGCAUUUGAUGAUUUUGUCGCCUGGCAUCCGAAUAAAAACGGAAUCUUUUCUGUGAAAACUGCAUAUCAUAUUGAGUGGAUACACAAAUAUGGGGGCCAUGCAACUGCCCUGGGCAGAUCGGGAAGCUCUACGACUCCGGCAGUGUGGUCUAUGCUAUGGAAUCUUCAAGUCCCACGUAAAGUUCAAAUAUUUUGCUGGAGAAUUCUGCACGGAAUUGUACCAUUAAUGUCUGUACUCGCUAACAGACACAUCCCGGUGAGUGGAGAAUGCCCAAUCUGUCACGUUGGACCAGAGGAUGUGCGCCAUCUGCUUUUUGAAUGCAUUCCAGCGAGAGAAUUGUGGGAGAAAUUAGGCGUUUUGGACUCUACCAGAUCGGCCCUUCAUGUGGAUCGCUCGGGAUCAAUAGUUCUAGAACACUUGCUAAACUUACCAACCACUCCGUUUCACCUCAUGCCUACUAUUCGAAGUAUUGACGUCAUAGCAGUGGGAUGCUGGUAUUUGUGGUGGAUCCGUAGGCAAGUCACACACAAUGAGACAAUUCCGCCUCCCAAUAGAUGGCCCAUUUCAGUGAUGGCAAUUACAUGCGGGUAUAACAAAGUGUCGAACCAAAAUAGGGAGGACACGGAGCAUAGAUGGAAGAGGCCAGACCCAAAGUUUGUUAAAGUAAAUGUUGACGCUGCUUUUUAUCAAGAUGCAGGGCAACGGCUGCUAUAA
rnacentral:rRNA from 1 species